CGUGCUCACAAUUCCAAGUUGUAGGAACAAGGUGUCAGGGGAUGCUUCAGACCCAAGGCAGCUUCUGGUGCAACCCGUCAGGACCAUGGCCAGAGCUCACCAGGAACCACAGGAACUGGGGACCACAAAAGAAGAAUGUUGCUCCAGUGGGGUGUCUCAGCAAACUGCUGGAAGUUUUUUUUAAAGGCUUUCCCAAGGACAUCUCAUCCUGAGGCCUCUGGGCACGCCUCUUGUGGAGGCACACCACGGGCCUCGGAGGUUUCCCAGAGGCAUGCGGCUGAUAACUGCUGCAGACAGGAGGCCAACCACUGCUGGACCACACAAGUCUUUGGUCUGCCCCAGCCAGACUCUUCUCGUGAUAUUCUGAUAUUCCAUGAAUGUGAGCUCAUGGCUGUAAAUCUCUUCUGCCUUUGCAAGCCACCCCCAUCUUCACUCUUAAAGAUGCCAACCUCUCAUAGAGGGAUCCUUGCAACAGCAAAAGGGGUGAUAAAAGUUUGGUCCCCAAGUGAUGGAAACCGGAUCGCUUGAGCGUGAUGUCAAAUCUUCAAAGGCCAGAGUCCUGAGCCAGCAAAACAGUCACGGCUGUGGGAGUUUCCAUUAGCAUGCACCUGCCUGACCUUACCUGUUCUGAAACAAAUCCCCAGAGAAUGACAUAACUUUGCACCUUGCUUUUGAAGUGCUUGGAAGUGAUGUUGUAAGAGGAGACGCACAGCCGGAGAUCCGAGCGUUUUUGUAGCUCCCGCAGUGCAAGUUUUUGCUCGCCUUAAACUUGACAAGAUGUCACCAUCCUUUCCCUCCUUGGAUCGCUCCUAUUAGGCUUCAUAUUUCUCAGCUGUCAUCGAGGUCUUAUGCAUGCAUUCCCUUUAUCUGGUACCUCUCACACCUGAGGCAUCAACUUUUCUCCUUCCAGCAAAACAACAGCUUAAAAGUAAAUCCGUCCAAAUCCCCAAGGCCAAACACUGUAACAGACACAGUUUCUCAAGGGAUUCGUAUCCCAAACCUGCAUUUGAACCAAAGUCUCAAGGGACCUCGGGGCUAAAAGCAUUCUCUUGUUCUGAGCAAUAAAGUGUCUUUGACUUGCA